CAUGUUCUAGAUCCUAAUAUCUAAUUCCAUGAUCACCGUGAAUUGAACUAGCCAUUAUUAUAAGUAAGUACACAAAUUUCCGAUUUUGGGUGAACACAAGUAGACAGGAUUAAAAUUAACGAAACUCAUUAGUAGAAAAAGCUAUCCAGGAAAAUCAAGCUAGCUCUCAAACUUGAAAACUUGUGUUCCUCUGUGAUUGUGUGACAUACUUCUGUCAUGAAAUCAGAGAGGUAGCGAGAGGUCCCCCUCAAACUUGAUGUACACGGCAGGCGCACUUCCAAAUCCGCCGGUGAAAGCUGAAGCAAACUGAUGGAAUCCUUUUAUCACCAACAGAUAUUGCUAAUGAAUUACUUUCACAGGAACAGCGAAACCCUAUUGUCCUAAAGAGUUGGGAGGGGAGGGGAAGAUGAGGAAGAAAAAGGAAAACAUGCAGCAGCUACAUAUACAUGUCUGGUAAUGGAUAAGUGAUGAGUACGUUAAUUCUUCUAACAGGUUAGAAAUCAGUG
rnacentral:lncRNA from 1 species